rnacentral:rRNA from 1 species
GGAGGGUGCGAGCGUUGUCCGGAAUCACUGGGCGUAAAGGGCGCGUAGGCGGUUCGGUAAGUUGCUGGUGAAAUCCCGGGGCUCAACUCCGGGGCUGCCGGCAUGACUGCCGAACUUGAGCACGGUAGGGGCAGAUGGAAUUCCCGGUGUAGCGGUGGAAUGCGUAGAGAUCGGGAAGAAUACCGGUGGCGAAGGCGUUCUGCUGGGCCGUUGCUGACGCUGAGGCGCGACAGCGUGGGGAGCAAACAGGAUUAGAUACCCUGGUAGUCCACGCCGUAAACGAUGGACACUAGGCGUCGGGGGGAGCGACCCUCCCGGUGCCGUCGCUAACGCAGUAAGUGUCCCGCCUGGGGAGUACGGCCGCAAGGCUG